GAUGGGUACAAUAGCACAUGCCUGUCGUCUCAACUACUUGGGAGGCUAAUGUGGGACCAUCACUUGAGCCCAGGAGUCCUAGGCUAUAGUACACUAUGCCUAUUGGAUGUCCAAAGUUUGACAUCAAUAUAGUGACCUCCUGGGAGUGGGGGACCCACAAGGACCACUCUUGCCUAAUAAGGGUGAACUGGUCUACAUCAGAAACAGAGCUGGUCAAAACUCCUGUGCUUAUCAAUAGUGGGAUAACACCUAUGAAUAGCCAUUGCACUCCAGCCUGGGCAACAUAGCAAGACCCCAUCUCU
rnacentral:SRP_RNA from 1 species